AGCGAACGCUGGCGGCAGGCCUAACACUUGCAAGUCGAACGGACCCUUCGGGGUUAGUGGCGGACGGGUGAGUAACACGUGGGAACGUGCCGUUAGGUUCGGAAUAGCUCCUGGAAACGGGUGGUAAUGCCGAAUGUGCCCUUCGGGGGAAGGAUUUAUCGCCUUUAGAGCGGCCUGCGUCUGAUUAGCUAGUUGGUAAGGUAAUGGCUUACCAAGGCGACGAUCAGUAGCUGGUCUGAGAGGAUGAUCAGCCACAUUGGGACUGAGACACGGCCCAAACUCCUACGGGAGGCAGCAGUGGGGAAUCUUGCGCAAUGGGCGAAAGCCUGACGCAGCCAUGCCGCGUGAAUGAUGAAGGUCUUAGGAUUGUAAAAUUCUUUCACCGGGGACGAUAAUGACGGUACCCGGAGAAGAAGCCCCGGCUAACUUCGUGCCAGCAGCCGCAGUAAUAC
rnacentral:rRNA from 1 species